UACGUAGGGUGCAAGCGUUGUCCGGAAUUAUUGGGCGUAAAGGGCUCGUAGGCGGUCCAUCACGUCGGGUGUGAAAAGCUGGGGCUUAACCCCAGUCCUGCUUCCGAUACGGGUGGACUAGAGGUAGGCAGGGGAGAACGGAAUUCCUGGUGUAGCGGUGAAAUGCGCAGAUAUCAGGAGGAACACCGGUGGCGAAGGCGGUUCUCUGGGCCUGUACUGACGCUGAGGAACGAAAGCGUGGGGAGCGAACAGG
rnacentral:rRNA from 1 species